rnacentral:rRNA from 1 species
GGACCCGCACAAGCGGUGGAGUAUGUGGCUUAAUUCGAUGCAACGCGAAGAACCUUACCUAGGCUUGACAUGCAUCUCUAAACCGGUGAAAGCCGGGGAGCGGAGCAAUCCGUAAUUUGCACAGGUGCUGCAUGGCUGUCGUCAGCUCGUGUCGUGAGAUGUUUGUUAAGUCCAGCAACGAGCGCAACCCCUGUGAUUAGUUACCAGCACGUAAUGGUGGGGACUCUAACGAGACUGCCGGUGCAAACCGCGAGGAAGGUGGGGAUGACGUCAAAUCAUCACGGCCCUUACGUCCUGGCCACACACGUGCUACAAUGGCCGGUACAGAGAGCAGCCACGUCGCAAGGCGGAGCGAA